rnacentral:rRNA from 1 species
GACGAGUGAGUAACACGUAAGAAAUCUACCCCGAAGAAAGGAACAACUUGCCGAAAGGCGAGCUAAUACCUUAUAUAAUCCUGGAAUGGCAUCAUACCGGGAUGAAAGCCGUAAGGCGCUUUGGGAGGAUCUUGCGACCUAUCAGCUUGUUGGUGAGGUAACGGCUCACCAAGGCUAUGACGGGUAGCCGGCCUGAAAGGGCGACCGGCCACGGAGGCACUGAGACACGGGCCUCACUCCUACGGGAGGCAGCAGUGGGGAAUUUUGGACAAUGGGGGAAACCCUGAUCCAGCAACGCUGCGUGAAGGACGAAGGUCUUCGGAUUGUAAACUUCUUUUGUUCGGGACGAAUGCCCGCAAGGGUUUGACGGUACCGGAUGAAUAAGCCACGGCUAACUACGUGCCAGCAGCCGCGGUAAGACGUAGGUGGCGAGCGUUACUCGGAAUCACUAGGCGUAAAGCGCGUGUAGGCGGGUGCUUAAGUCUGCUGUGAAAUCUCCCGGCUCAACUGGGAGGGGUCAGCAGAUACUGGGCGUCUGGAGUGAGGCAGGGGGUACUGGAAUUCCCGGUGUAGCGGUGAAAUGCGUAGAUAUCGGGAGGAACAUCAAUGGCGAAGGCAGGUACCUGGGCCUUUACUGACGCU